AUUGAACGCUGGCGGCAGGCCUAACACAUGCAAGUCGAACGAGUGGCGGACGGGUGAGUAAUGGCUGGGACACUGCCUGGUGGAGGGGGAUAACAACUGGAAACGGUAGCUAAUACCGCAUACCAUCAGAUGUGCCCACAUGAGAUUAGCUUGGUGGUGGGGUAACGGCUCACCAAGGCGACUAUCCCUAGCUGGUCUGAGAGGAUGACCAGCCACACUGGAACUGAGACACGGUCCAGACUCCUACGGGAGGCAGCAGUGGGGAAUAUUGCACAAUGGGCGCAAGCCUGAUGCAGCCAUGCCGCGUGUAUGAAGAAGGCCUUCGGGGUGGAAAGUACUGUCAGCUGGGAGGCGUUACCCGCAGAAGAAGCACCGGCUAACUCCGUGCCAGCAGCCGCGGUAAUUC
rnacentral:rRNA from 1 species